CCUCCUUCAGAGCAUGGCUGUCCUGGUGCUGCUUCUCUGCCUGGUGACCUUUCCAUGCUGUGUCCUGGCUCAGGUGCAGCUGAAAGAGUCAGGUCCUGACCUGGUGCAGCCCUCACAGACCCUGUCCCUCACCUGCAUUGUCUCUGGGUUCUCAUUAACUAGCUAUGGUGUAAACUGGGUUCGCCAGCCCCCAGGAAAGAGUCUGGAGUGGAUGGGAACCAUAUGGAGUGAUGGAAGCACAGAUUAUAAUUCAGCUCACAAAUCUCGACUGAGCAUCAGCAGGGACACAGCCAAGAGCCAAGUUUUCUUAAAAAUGAACAGUAUUAAAACUGAAGACACAGCCAAGUACUACUGUGCCAGAGACACAGUGAUGGAAGUCCAGCAUGAAACUGCACGAAACCUCCCUACAGGGAUCCUCAAGACCAGCAGGGGGCACUGA